rnacentral:rRNA from 1 species
GACGAACGCUGGCGGCGCGCCUAACACAUGCAAGUCGAACGGAAAGGCCUGCUUUCCCUUGUGGAUUGCGGGGACUCGAGUGGCGAACGGGUGAGUAACACGUGAGCGAUCUGCCGCCAACUUGGGUAUAAGCCUGGGAAACUGGGUCGAAUUCCCGAUAGGACCGCAGGGUGGUGCGUGUGGUGGAAAACGAUUUUCUAGUGGCUGGGGAUGAGCUCGCGGCCUAUCAGCGGGUUGGUGGGGUAAUGGCCUACCAGGGCCGCGACGGGCAGCCGGGGUGGGAGGGCGGACCGCCGACUUGGGACUGGGACACGGCCCAGACGCAUGCGGCAGGCAGCAGUUGGGGAUAUUGCGGACUGGGCGGAAGCCUGAGGCCCCGACGCCGGGUGGAGGAUUUCGGCCUGCGGGUGGUAAUCUCCUGUCGACCGCGAGGAAGCCACCUGGUUGGAAGGGUGGUGACGGUAGUGGUAGAAAAAGCACCGGCUAACUACGUG